rnacentral:lncRNA from 1 species
CCUCUGAGAUCAGAUUUAACUACACGUCAUCAAAGAAAAUCCUACUAACUCUAGCCAGUGUUAAACAGAGUUUGUAGCCUCUCUCUCUCUCUCCCUGGUCUGAUAGUUGGAUUAGAGGUUUAUUCCUACUAACUCUAGCCAGUGUUAAACAGAGUUGUAGCCCCUCUCUCUCUCCCUGGUCUGAUAGUUGGAUUAGAGGUUAUUCCUACUAACUCUAGCCAGUGUUAAACAGAGUUGUAGACUCUCUCUCUCCUUUCUCGCCUGACGUCCCUGAAUUAGUUGAUUAAGGUUAUGUCCUACUAACCUAGCCAGUGGUUA